GUACACUCCUACGGGAGGCAGCAGUGGGGAAUAUUGCACAAUGGGCGCAAGCCUGAUGCAGCCAUGCCGCGUGUGUGAAGAAGGCCUUCGGGUUGUAAAGCACUUUCAGCGGGGAGGAAGGCGAUACGGUUAAUAACCGUGUUGAUUGACGUUACCCGCAGAAGAAGCACCGGCUAACUCCGUGCCAGCAGCCGCGGUAAUACGGAGGGUGCAAGCGUUAAUCGGAAUUACUGGGCGUAAAGCGCACGCAGGCGGUCUGUCAAGUCGGAUGUGAAAUCCCCGGGCUCAACCUGGGAACUGCAUUCGAAACUGGCAGGCUUGAGUCUUGUAGAGGGGGGUAGAAUUCCAGGUGUAGCGGUGAAAUGCGUAGAGAUCUGGAGGAAUACCGGUGGCGAAGGCGGCCCCCUGGACAAAGACUGACGCUCAGGUGCGAAAGCGUGGGGAGCAAACAGGAUUAGAAACCCGAGUAGUCCC
rnacentral:rRNA from 1 species